rnacentral:ribozyme from 1 species
GGUCGCAAGUUGAAGGCUGAAGCAGAAGCAUUUGUGGAGCAGCUUGUCAGAUUCCAAGGAAUCUGUGAAUUCUGCU